rnacentral:rRNA from 1 species
AGCGAACGCUGGCGGCAGGCUUAACACAUGCAAGUCGAACGGGCUUCUUCGUGAGUCCGUGGCAGGCGGGUGAGUAACACGGGGGAACGUGCUCUUCUGUUCGGAAUAACUCAGGGAAACGGGAUCUAAUACCGGAUACACCCUUGUGGGGAAAGUUUUACUGCCGAAGGAUCGGCCCGCGUCUGAUUAGCUUGUUGGUGGGGUAACGGCCUACCAAGGCGACGAUCCGUAGCUGGUCUGAGAGGAUGAUCAGCCACACUGGGACUGAGACACGGCCCAGACUCCUACGGGAGGCAGCAGUGGGGAAUCUUAGACAAUGGGGGCAAGCCUGAUCCAGCCAUGCCGCGUGAGUGAUGAAGGCCUUAGGGUUGUAAAGCUCUUUUGUCCGGGAAGAUAAUGACGGUACCAGAAGAAUAAGCCCCGGCUAACUUCGUG